CGUUAACGCCGAGCGUCUUAGUCAACGGGGAAGGCGAAUCUCCUUGGCUCGUGAAGGGCCAUCUGGUCUUUCUCUGCCCCGAGUCCACGGCUGAUCAUUCAGGGUGACAGGCGAAGGAGGACAUUCUGGAAAGGGGAAUCUCCCGCGUCUGGCCCGGCUCGCUCUCGGGGUCCCCGGAGAGCUGCUCGCCCCCCGCCCCGAAUGGGAAGGAGCCCCAUUUGGGCAGCGCCGUACGGACGUUGGAGGAUCUCUUCUGAGCCUCCCGAGGGAUGGGGGGGAGCCGGUGAAGGGUGCCGGGGCAACUCCCUCCACGCCGUCGAGAUCGAGGCCCGGUCCGCCCGUCCCCAAGGCCGUGACGGGGUAGCUGUCAGCCCACGGGUACCGGCGACGGCGUCCGGCGGACGUAGCCGCCGUUUUCCUUGCCCAGACCUGGCCGGAGCGACUCCGUACGCCUGGCCUGUGAUGGGGGCUCAUCCGAGUUCGCUCUCUGGCCCGUCCCGGGCAACCGCGGCGGCCGGGAGAGAGGAAGCGAGCUGGCCCUCCGUCUCCCGCCUCGAUCCAGCACCCCGAGACUCCCCUGCCCCUCCUGCUGUGAGGUCGGUUCCCCGACCCACCCAGCGCAGAGAGCCACCCUGGAAGCAGAUCCAAGUCGAAGCGGCCGCAGCCCGAGAGGGGCUGCCUCCCCUGCGGGCUGGAGACGCGGACCGGUACGAUCGCGGGAGGGGAGGUCGACCUCCCGUUCCUUCUCCCAGGCUGCUUCCGACCGGGGCUCUCCCGGUGGACGCCGGCCCCUCUCCGGACGCGCCGGAACCGGCUUCGGCCAACCGUGCCGCUCGCUUUGAGUUCGUUAAAACUCCCGAAGAUAUUCCGGAAGAGAAACCCCCGAAACCCCCUCCCCGGAAGGAUAUCCUAAAGAUGGGCAUUUGGGCCUGCUUGGUGGUCAUGGGAUUUCUGCUGAUCAUCGUCACAGUUUUCCAGAUACUGACUUUUUGUCAUAUUACCCAGCCGAUGAAAAAUUGCCUAAAGAGACUUCGGAGAAGCGAUAAGUCGCGUUCGGAUUGUAAACGCGAGGCGGGGGGACGGACGGACUCUAACGUGAGCUCGAGCGCGGGAGAGUUCCCCCUGGGAGAAUCCAUCCCGCCCUCCCCCGCCAGCCAGGAGAGCAACGUCUCGUCGGAAGCCCGGUAUUCUCCUAACGGCGCGGGCUCUUGUGAUGAAACCCCCGGGACGAGCCCUCCACCCCGGAGCGUUUCCGACUUCUCCCCCGGAGGCGGCGUCUGCGCGCCGGAACCCGGCGAGGACGGGGACCUGCGGGGGGAGAGCCCGGCCGAUGCAGGCGGCCGGGCGGGAGAAAGCGACUCCCCGCCGUGGAAAAUCGGGCAGGGCAAUUCGGAGUGGGAAAAUUACCAGGACUUCACCCAGGGCCGCUCUCCCUCUUUCGCCGAGGCGGCCGAGUCGGAAGAGCGGCACCGGUGAGCGUUCCGCGCCGCCUGGAAAACGUCAUCGCGCCCGGCGUCUUUCACCUCUUCCUAGAGAAAAUCCCGGAGGGCACCAUCUCGCUAUCUGACCCGAUCGUAGAUACGAUUCCGCUCCCGGCCGUCGGAUCCACCUGUCCCGGGACGCGUGGCCGCCUCUCGGAGGCCCCCCCCCCCCCCCCCGCUCCUGGCUGAAGAGAAGGGCUCUCCCCCCACCGGCGGGCCCCGGGCUCGUGUUCCUGGUCGAGGAUCUCACCUUUACCGUAAUAAAGCUAGGCCGUUUUGAAAAUUUUAAAAGAACGACCACCGGCUCUCCGUGUUUGCUUGGCCUGUUGUCGAGCUGUGUUCGGCGCUGACGCCGAUUACAGGUGGGACGUCGUCCGACGGAUGCCCAAAAGCCCUUUCCCUCCAAACUCCCCGAGUCACGUCGUCAGCUUCUCGGUGCGGGGUUUUGGGGUGUUGGUUGGUCCCCCUGCUCCCACGGACCCAUCCCUUCAGAUAUACGUGUCCUCCUCUUCACCCGGCACAGAUUUCUCCUUUUCCAAAUGCCCAGUGACGAAAAAGAGGGAAUGUUCAGUUGAGCCGUAACCCGUGUGGAAGUAGCCCCCGUUUCCGGGGGUCGCUUACCCACGCCGGGUUGAGAAGCCAUUUGGCUGAAUCGCACCGGUCACGUCCUCAAAUGGCAGCCCCCUUGAAAAAGCGCGGCCUCCGGACCGUCCGUAACUCGCGUUUUGAACUCGGCCACGGGCUGUUCGGAAGCAUCGCCGCCCCGACGCUCCUCUCUCCUGGUUCUUUUCUCGUCUCACUGGCCGUUCAUUCUCGGUCUCAUUCGUGGGCGCCGCCUCCACCUCCCACCCCCUGACUGCGGGGCCCCCUCGGUGUUGUUCUGCGUCCCCCUCUCCUCCGCAUCCGCUCCCUUGGAGGGCUCGUUCGCUCCCGUGACUUCAACUACACCCUCCCCGUCCACCGUCUUGCAUCUCCUGCCGCCUUCUCCGCUCCUCUAACGUUAACCUCGAUCGAUCUCGCCGCCGGCCCCGCGCCCUCGUCCUCCCU
rnacentral:lncRNA from 1 species